AUUGAACGCUGGCGGCAGGCCUAACACAUGCAAGUCGAACGGUAACAGGAAGAAGCUUGCUUCUUUGCUGACGAGUGGCGGACGGGUGAGUAAUGUCUGGGAAACUGCCUGAUGGAGGGGGAUAACUACUGGAAACGGUAGCUAAUACCGCAUAACGUCGCAAGACCAAAGAGGGGGACCUUCGGGCCUCUUGCCAUCAGAUGUGCCCAGAUGGGAUUAGCUAGUAGGUGGGGUAACGGCUCACCUAGGCGACGAUCCCUAGCUGGUCUGAGAGGAUGACCAGCCACACUGGAACUGAGACACGGUCCAGACUCCUACGGGAGGCAGCAGUGGGGAAUAUUGCACAAUGGGCGCAAGCCUGAUGCAGCCAUGCCGCGUGUAUGAAGAAGGCCUUCGGGUUGUAAUGUACUUUCAGCGGGGAGGAAGGGAGUAAAGUUAAUACCUUUGCUCAUUGACGUUACCCGCAGAAGAAGCACCGGCUAACUCCGUGCCAGCCGCCGCUGUAA
rnacentral:rRNA from 1 species